UUUGCCACGUCACAUACUUUCACUCUUUAAAAAAAUGUUUGUUUUUUAAACAAAAAAAGUAAGCUAAAUACUGCUGUUAAGCCUCAACCACAUUUAAUGUAGUACAAUUUUUAUUAUUCAGAAAACUGAGGCUUCCUUAGCUUUUGUCACGAUAAAAAGGACGUAUUGUUUCCCGCCCCUGGUUGUCAUGGUAACCUAGCAACAAGGAAGCUACAAAAAGUAGUCUCCUAAAUUCUUCAGUUUUGGCCGUGACAAUGUCAAAAAGGCCACGCUUCUUCACACCUGCUCAGGUGGCAGCUCACAACACGGCGGCCGACCUAUGGGUGUCCUUCCUGGGCAAAGUGUGUGACCUGACCCCCUUGAUGAAGCAGCAUGAGGGUGAUGUUUUGCUGCUACCCAUCAUGGAAUUUGCGGGCAAGGACAUCAGCAGUUGGUUCGACCCGGAGACCAAAGAUGUGCUGACGUUCGUCCACCCGCUGACUGACUGCGUAAGUUACUACACGCCGCGGGGUCGCUUCAUACACAUCCCGCCGGCAGGCCCACGCUCCGACUGGGCCAGCGACAUCGAGCCGGCUUGGUGGAAGGACAAGCGCUACCAAGUGGGACGACUGUCCGCCAAGACCAGGUGGAUACGCGUCAUCAACACUUUGACGUCUCAGGAGCAACGACUGGAGGUGUGUUCUGAGGAGACGCUGGCCGAGAUCCUGGAGCGCUACCUGCCGUACAACUCGCACGCGUGCAGCUACACGUGGAAGCACAACGGCACCAGCUUGGACAUGAGCAAGACUCUGAGCCAGAACAACGUUCCUGACGACGACAUUAAGCUUCAAGAGCUACGUCUGGACUGCGAUCUUUUCACGCCAGCUAUCCUCCUCCACUUUAAUGACGACCUCACAGAGGGUUGAGUUUUUUUACGUUGUCCAAAAUUGUGUAAAGUUGUGCCACGUUUCAGGAAUAAAGUGUUUUUACUUAAGUUUGAAGUAUGUGACGUGGUUGGAAAGUGCACACAAACAAAACCGACGGUACCGUUCAAAGUUCGCUUGGCGGUCAGUCACCUCGACGCGGAGUUGCCGCGCUCCUCUCUUUCGUGAAGACAUCAUGACGACGGAAUACCAUGACAACAUUGACGAGGACAGCAGUUCCUUCUGGAACAAAGAACCAUCCAUCAGCCCUCGCUCAAGAGUGUCCAGGCUCAGCCGCCGCCUGUUUCCAAUUCUGACCGUAGCAGCCAUUUUGAUACUGAUGAUCGCACUGGGAGCCAGCU